UGCAAAUGCGUUUUUGCUGCUAAAUUAUUUGCGUUUUUGCUGCGUUUUUGCGUUUUUGCUUCAAUUUUAUCUGCGUAUUUGUUGCAAUUAAAAUAUCUAAAAGUGGGUCAGUAAAUUUUAUAACAGACGUAAGUUGAGCGCCAUUUGCAAAAAGCUACGCGUUAAAAUCUUUUUCAUAAAGACUGUAAAUAUAAAAAACAAUUUAACAAUGAGUGUAGUUGUGAAACGUUAUGAAAAGGUACAAAUCUUUUACUUCGAAAUUUGCAUGGCAUGGUACUAUUUGCAUGGAACAUGCCAUGGUUUAUGGAAAAUAAUCUUUUAAGAUAUCUUAGCAUCUAGAUAGCAUUUAGAGCCUAUCUAGAUAGGCUCUAAAUUUAAAAUAACAUUCUUGAAUACAAGUAGUCAAGAAUAUUAUUUAAAAUUUAGAGCAUAUAAACAUAAGCAUAAAAAGGGGGUUCAUGGCACUUAGGGAAAAUCUGGAAAUUUUUGAAAAUCAUAAAAUAAGUUUAAUAAAAAUUUUUUAGCUUGAAGUUAUUUUGCAAUAUCCAAGGUUUGAAUCUUUAGUAAUAUUGAAAGUUGCUUACUGCAGUUGUUUUAUAAAUUUUAUUAUAUAUAGUAUCUAUAUCUAGUUAUAAAGGGAUUACUUUAGUAAACAUAUGUUGUGGCAAUACGAAUUCAGUUGGAACAGUAUUAUAAUCUUCAACAUUACCAGUCAAAAAUUUAUACUUUUUGCCGUACAAACUCUAGGAAAAAGAGCUUAAAAAUGAGGGAAAUUUAGGGAUUGCUCAGGAAAAAUAGAUUUUCAAAACUGUUAUGAACACUAAUAAAUCUUGAAUUUUAUUUUAUCAAAUACAUUUUGUACUUUCAACUUGGUAGCAGUGUCUAAAAAAUAAUAAUUUUUAUAUACAUAAAUUCAAAAACAAUUACAUACUGAGUUUAGGUUUUACAUUUACUUGCUAAAAUUUUUUUUUAUUAUUAAGGUUAUUGUUCAAAUCACAGACAUCUAUAGUUCAUAAAAGUUCUAAAUGUUUUUUUAUUAAUUAUAAUUUUUGUGAUUUUUUAGUACUUCUUUAUGCCAACAAAAAAUUUUUUAUUCAAUCAGUUUUGCCUUGCAAAGUUUAUUUUGAAGUAUACAAAUAUGCAAAGAUUUUAUAACAGAUAAUUAUUAUUUUGUAUUUUAUAUACUGCCUUUGUUAAGAAACGAAAUAAAAUUAUAAACAUAAUUGUAUUGAAUUUUUUGACAAAAGCAUUUAAAUUAUAAAACAUAAUUUUUAUGAACUCUCAAAUAGUAAACUCUUUUGUGUUAAUUUUUGUUUUCUUAAAAAAUUGAUGCUUAGGAUUUGCAAUUAAUAUUUUUUUAAAGGUUUUUGUCUAUUUUUAGCAAAGCUUUUUUACUUUUGUUUUACUUAAGUUUUACUUUUGUUUUAUUACGAUGCCAAAACACAUGAUCAGUUUAAUUUCUAAAUCUGAAUGACUCCUCAUUUUUAUAGUCUUCUCAAGCUCUAUACAAAUUUUAUUAAUUAUAUAAAUACAAAUUUUAUUAAUUUUUUUUUUGUUUAGGUGUUUAACUACAUAGUCAGAAGUUUAAAAAAUAACUCCAGUCAGUUGUCUAGCAGGGCCACAGGACAAAAUAAGCCCUAUAUUUUUAUUAUAUAUUAUGGGAUCAUAUAUUUACUUUUCCCACUACAGGUUGCUUCAGCUUUUCACAACUGCUGGGUGUUGUGCAUUAUAAUAAAAAGAUGUAGUUUAGCAGGGUGAUGGGCAAAUAUAAGUCAUAUAUUUUAGCAUUAUCUUAUAAGAUUAUAAAUUUACUUUUUCGUCUACAGGUUGCUUCUGCUUUUUACUACUGCUUAGUGUAGUGCAUUAUAAUGAAAUGAGUUGUUAAUAUAAAAUUUUGUAUGUGUUAUCAGACAAAUGACGGAUGCGCAUUUGUUUAAAUAUGUGUGUACUUUGGUAUAAUAAUGGUAUCAUAUUUUGUAACAUUUUUUUUUGUUUGUGUUUUUAAAUAUGUGUAUACUUUGGUAUAAUAAUGGUAUCAUAUUUUAUAACAUUUUUUUAUUGUUUGUGUUUUUAAAUAUAUGUGUGUACUUUGGUAUAUUAAUGGUAUCAUAUUUUGUAACAUUUUUUUUUACAUACAUAUUAUUUGUUUUUCUUUAUUUGGUAUAAAAAUGGUUUAAUAUUUUAGCGAAGGACACAGUCAUCUCUUGAUCAAAAAAUUACUGAUGCCUGUAAAGAUGAAAGCAUAAACUUUAAAAAAAUUUUUAUUAAUGGAGAGAUAGGUUUGUUAAUAUCUUAUUUAGUUUACGAUGUUGACAGGAUCUAUUCUAGAUCCGCUUCGACAGCAUUGAACAUAUUUGGUGCAGAUUUUGGCACCAUCCAAAUUAUUUUCCUAGAAUAGCCCCUAGAUUAUAAUUAUCAGGAAGGUGAUGAUGAUGAUGAUGAUGAUGAUGAUGAUGAUGAUGAUGAUGAUGAUGAUGAUGAUGAUGAUGAUGAUGAUGAUGAUGAUGAUGAUGAUGAUGAUGAUGAAAUUCUCUUGUUUAAAUCUAGCAAAGUUUCGGGAUCUUUACAAAUAAAGAAUUUCAUGCAAAUGAAAUUUUGCUGGAGUACAAAGGGGAAAUCAUUUCAAGAAAAGAGGCCAUAUUAAGGCAUAAAAAAUAUGAGAAUGAAAAAAAAGGUUGCUUCAUUUAUGAUAUUGAUUUCAAAGGUGAAAAGAUAAGCAUUGAUGCAACAGAUUCAUUUAGUUAUGGCAGAUUUAUUAAUGAUUCUGCAGAAAAAUUUGCUAAUUGUCGACCAAAGGUUUUAGUCGUCAAUGAUUUGCCCCGUGUGUUUUUUUUCUCAAAGAAUUUUAUCCCGUCAGGAACCGAGCUUCGUUAUGACUAUGGUGAUUCUAAAAAUCAAGAAUGGAGAAAGAUAGUGAUGUUUUAUUUAAAAAUUAUUAUAUUGUUUUAUUUUCAGUUUUGUGUUAAUUGUAAUGUUGUUUCAUAAGGAUAAGUUUUCUUUGCAGAUUAAUUUCUUUAUGAAAAAAAUUUUAAUAAAUUUUUCUUCAUGAUUUAACAUAUUUGUAUGAAGAAUUUAUUUUAGGAAAAUUAUAAAUCACCAUUUACAGUAAAUGAAGUAAAGGAGUCACUUUUUGUAGGCAAGACAUUGCAAAAAAAAGUAUUUUUAAAAGCAUCAGAA